ACAACAACAAAAAAAAUGUGACACCCAAUAAAAACAACAGGUAACGGCUCUGACAUAACAAGAACAACACGGCAGAGGCGUAGCAAGCAGAUUUUUUUGGAGUCGACACGCUUUUCAGGGGUACGCCCCGCGGUCUGGCACAGAACAAUAAAACUACCUCAAGGUAGCAGCAGCCAGGUUCGGAUCAGCCAUGAUGAAAGCAGGUCAGCGCUCAAAAAAAUACGUUUGCUCUUGACCCCGCAUGGGGGUCGCCCGCAACACCAGGACAAGCCGACAAAAACAACAAUAGGCCGGUCCCAAUAAUAAAAAAAGAGCAGGCAACAACGCUUUGAGGGGAGCUUCGGCUCCCCUCAGUGCUUCCUGCCCUCUUCCUCCUUCUGCUUCU
rnacentral:ncRNA from 17 species